CCUACGGGUGGCAGCAGUAGGGAAUCUUUCACAAUGGGCGAAAGCCUGAUGGAGCGACGCCGCGUGCAGGAUGAAGGCCUUCGGGUUGUAAACUGCUUUUAUAAGCGAGAAAUAUGAUGGUAACUUAUGAAUAAGGAUCGGCUAACUACGUGCCAGCAGCCGCGGUCAUACGUAGGAUCCGAGCAUUAUCCGGAGUGACUGGGUGUAAAGAGUUGCGUAGGUGGCAUAAUAAGUAGCUAGUGAAAUCUGGUGGCUAAACCAUUCAGACUAUUAGCUAAACUGUUAAGCUCGAGACCGUUAGGGGUAACUGGAAUUUCUAGUGUAGGAGUGAAAUCCGUAGAUAUUAGAAGGAACACCAAUAGCGUAGGCAGGUUGCUGGGACGGUUCUGACACUAAGGCACGAAAGCGUAGGGAGCAAACGGGAUUAGAUACCCCUGUAGUC
rnacentral:rRNA from 1 species